rnacentral:rRNA from 1 species
AGUUUGAUCCUGGCGUCAGGAUGAACGCUAGCUACAGGCUUAACACAUGCAAGUCGAGGGGCAGCAUGAUCUUAGCUUGCUAAGAUUGAUGGCGACCGGCGCACGGGUGAGUAACGCGUAUCCAACUUCCCCUUACGUAGGGCAUAGCCCGGCGAAAGUCGGGAUUAAUACCCUAUGUAUUCCUUUGAGAGCAUUUGACUGGGAACAAAGAUUUAUCGCUAAGGGAUGGGGAUGCGUCUGAUUAGCUUGUUGGCGGGGUAACGGCCCACCAAGGCGACGAUCAGUAGGGGUUCUGAGAGGAAGGUCCCCCACAUUGGAACUGAGACACGGUCCAAACUCCUACGGGAGGCAGCAGUGAGGAAUAUUGGUCAAUGGGCGAGAGCCUGAACCAGCCAAGUAGCGUGCAGGAUGACGGCCCUAUGGGUUGUAAACUGCUUUUGUAGGGGAAUAAAGUCGGGGACGUGUCCCUGUUUGUAUGUACCCUAAGAAUAAGGACCGGCUAAUUCCGUGCC